AAUCGACGCCAUAAACGUAAAUAGAACGGCCCGAGGAAAGCUUGAGCUCUGCGUAGGUGGGGGAUGGUGUGCAUGCUCCUGUCGCAAAAACGCUGUGCUGAUGUAUUGGUCGCUUUCUUUUCCCCCGAUAUCACGUGUGCGAGUCUGAGGGCAUCUUUCAUGCCUGGUGGGAAGGGGGAGCGUGGCUGAUGGAGGCCCUCUCUAACACCAUGUGGGGGCUGGCCUGCUUCAAGCGUCUUUCCUGGGGGAAGAGAACGACGACCGCCUUUCACCGGAGCACCGCGGAAGUUGGGGGCUGCUGGGAGACAGCAGAGGCGCCUCGGAGGGCAGGUAGAAGGUGCUUAUGGGCGGCUCCAUGUAGGGUUGAGUGGCCUGGCCUGGGCUCCUGCCUCAGAGGCGGGCUGAAAUGGGCGAAGCUGGGGUGUUGCUGUCGGGGUGCUGCUCUUCUGGGGUAAGAUCUGGGGUGGCUGAACCCACGUGUUCCUGCAACAAGUCCUUGAGGCAGCUCAGUAAGAUGCGACCUGCAUUUCCUUUUUAUUGGAGACACUACGGUAUCUAUGGCCGUUGGGCCGCGGGGUGGACUCCUGUCCAUAGGGUGUCCGACGUGUGCUGGCUCGCUGGUCGCGCGCGCGCUGUGGACGUGUUUGUGUGUAGACUGGUUGUAGCCUGGUGUGAGCUCCAUGCAGCCGACUCGCUUCACAGGUCCGGCUUAGAGCCGCUCUGGUAGCCCAAGAUGAGGGGCUCCGUGACAUGACCCACGGUGAGUGAAUUGAACGCUACUAACGCGUUGUGUUUGCCCUAGUGUUAAAAAGGUCUGUAAAAAGGCUGGUGUUGGCCAUCUGUUCCGAUUAAUUUUUUUGCAAGCGGUGCGGUGCAUAAUGCUCGCAGUUGCUGCAGGCCAUGAAGUGACAAGUAUUCUUUUUGUUUUUCAGGAUUCAUAAAAAAAACAUAGCAAUAUGUGGGAUCAUACCGACUCCUUAAAUCAAAUGGCCUUCCUGAAAAAAAAAAAAGCUGAUUACCCUCAGUAGCAGGCUGAAAAUAAGACUCCUGCAUAGCAACUUGCAGUUGAAAACACUUAUUCAUCUUGCUUGAAUGUAACAGCGAACAGUACUUGAUAGUAUAUGAUGCAGAAGCCGUCAUUUGAGUGCCUAGUUGCUUCAUUCACGUAGACUAGUUUACCCAGGAAGACUACGUUUUCUAUGAUGUAAUGCAAGUGUUCAUCUGGGAAAUGCAUAGUUGGGAGAUGGCUCUAUCAGGGAAAUCAGCGAAAGAAUAUUAAGUGUGUCAGGUGUAAGAUAAAAGAAGUACAAAUAACAUUAAGUUGACUUGAAACUUGAGAUCUACUUUUUGUUUUCACCAAAACCUGAGGCUGCACCAAUAGUUUAUUCUUUUAACAGGUGUUUAAAGAGCUUUGCAGAAACUGUGUUUUUCAUUAAAACUGGAUGGGAAUUUCAGUGAACUGUAUAAGAUUUGCAGACUGGUUUUUAGAAAAAGAUCAAACAGAAAACCUGAAUAUUGUUUAAAAUAUGCAAGUAUUUGCUUUUUUAUAUACUGCUAAGCUCAUAGACAGUAUCGUUGAUUUGUCAUUUAAUAGGUAAUCUUUUUACAUCUAGGCAAAGAACUUUUUCUGCUGUCAGUUGCUUAUAUUAAGAAAAUGGCUAAUGGUUUUUAAUCAAGGAGUUUAAAUUGCAGACUACAUACAGGGACUCAACUGUGUUCUGCAGAGUUCAUUUUCUGUAUAUGCUAUAAGGUAUUUUUUAUUUGGGAUCAUGAGAUCUACCUUCUGAACAGGAAAUGAGUAUAAACUGAUGUUUGUGCUUCUGGGUAUAGACAGUACAAAACAGUUACUCUUGAGGUACCAGUUUUGUAAGUUCACAGAUACCUUGCUGAGAUAUUAACUUGCAUUUUCAUAAUUUUAGGUAUAUACUUUAGAAAGGAUCUGCUGGAUUUAUAACUUAAUUCCUACUAAAUUUUGGAGGUAUUUGGGAGCCUGAAUGCUACAGACAAGAGAUAAGGAUGAAGCACUUUAAUUUACUAAUUAUAUGAUACUGAUUUCAGUAUUUCUGAGAGCAUAUGAAUGGAACAUAUAGCAAGUAAAAAAUCAGAAAUUAAUGAUUGCAUGUGUACAAGAGCAGAGGAAACUUAUAUUUAAUUUUCACCCCAUCACUCUCUGUUAAUAAUUGUUCACAUCCUAAAGUAUUUUUUCUUCUAUGUUAUUCUAGCACUAUUUCUGUUUUAAACAAGUGUCUAGUAAGUCAGUAAAAAUGCUCUUCUAAAUUGGGUAAUGGCUUUUCUUUACCAGGUCUUAACCAGCUGCUGAAAUAAAUAAAAAUAACACACUAAUGCCACUGGAAGAAUUCUUCCUGUCAUAAUAAAGAAGCUUUAUAGUGAAAAUUGAGAUCCACCUUUUUAAUCCAUCUACUACUCAGCAGGAAUGUCUACUUCCCGUUAAGUAUGAAUAUUAAUAGCUACACAGGAUGCUCUUGAAGCAUUUUUAUUUCUGGGCUAGGGGUUACAUGAAGUAGUGGCAUCUUUGAUCUUGAAAUUCUGCCAUAAGUACCAGGUAUGCUUCUCCUUGGGCUCCCUCUGCACUAGUGUAGUUUCAUAAUUAUUUGCAAAUUAUAAACUUUAGUCUCAAAUUCCUUUGUCCCACUAGUAUUGCCCCUUGAGUUCUUUUAACUUUCUGAAAGCCAAUGGGAAGAUAUGUUAAUUCCAGGGAAGACAGUAAAAUGUAUUAAAGCCAUACCUAAACUAUAUUUAAAUUUAUAGUUAGUUUUAUCUUUCAAUGGAUAUUCUUGUGUAAAGACCUUGCUGAGCUGAGCAUUCCUCUUUUUCUGCCUCAUGGUUUUGGGAGGUCUGUAUUCCAGAGCUAUGCAGAGAAGAAGGAACAGCUGCAAAACAGCAACCUUGACUUGGUUAGCUUCCUGCACAUAAUCAAGGCCUGUUCUGUGAGCCUCUUGAAAAAAUACUUGACCACCAUUUGGUGAAAUUGAUUCUUAGUAGUGUUUCAAAACAUUAGGCCACUUGCAUGCAUUUUUGCUCAUUCUAGUAAUACAUACAGGGCUUAAUCAUUCUAUUAGUUAAGGUAAUUUAAAAGGAAGAUCAUAUACAGCUGCACAGUUGUGUUUAUAUUAAACAAACCAUGGUCUAAAUGUAGAAAAAUGGAUUGCAGACAACCUAAUGCUGGCCAACACUGUAGCAGCCUGAAUUGCUGCUAGUAAAGUCCAGGAUAAAGAAGCAAAAAGGGCCUUUGCAUAAUAUCCACAGAUGUUUAAUUUAGCCGUGUGGUGAGAUGUUCAGGUACAAGGCCCACACAUUCAGGGUCCAGCUUUUUCCCUCCCCAGGGGAACCCCAGGGUCCACCUGGUCUCGAGGUAGUACCAAGAUGAGGGCCAAUCAGGGAAUAGGGAGGGAGUGGCUCAGGGACAUAGCAGCAAGGGAAGGAGCCAAUGGGGUUAAACAGCUUUGAGGGAAGCUUCUUGUGUCUCCCUAAUUUAGGGGAUGCCCCCCCAGGGCCUCCGCAACACAAGUCACCCUGGUGGUAACAAUUAUCUGGAAAUAUGAAAACAAGAACAACAACCAACCGUUAAGAGGAGACAUGGCAUUUAAGCUGAACAAGAGUGCAAAUUCAUGUGCUGGAACAGUAGGGAGUUAGAGGUUAAGAAGAAGAAACUCAGGGAGGUAAGAGGGCUCUUAGAGCUUUAAGAAAAUCAUAACAUUAUUUACAGUGUUAGCACUAAAAUAAUCAAAUACAAAAUGACUGAUUUGUCUGCUGAAAUGGGUGAUUUUAAAAUAAUAAAAUGCAUCUUUUUUGUGAGAAACAACUGCUCACUUUGAAAAUUUAAAAAGGUUUAUAAAACCUUGACAAAAAUAAACCAAAAGGACUAUAUAAGGAAAAAUUUGCAGCACU